AGUGAACGCUGGCGGUAGGCCUAACACAUGCAAGUCGAACGGCAGCACAGUAAGAGCUUGCUCUUACGGGUGGCGAGUGGCGGACGGGUGAGGAAUACAUCGGAAUCUACUUUUUCGUGGGGGAUAACGUAGGGAAACUUACGCUAAUACCGCAUACGACCUACGGGUGAAAGCAGGGGAUCUUCGGACCUUGCGCGAUUGAAUGAGCCGAUGUCGAAUUAGCUAGUUGGCGGGGUAAAGGCCCACCAAGGCGACGAUCCGUAGCUGGUCUGAGAGGAUGAUCAGCCACACUGGAACUGAGACACGGUCCAGACUCCUACGGGAGGCAGCAGUGGGGAAUAUUGGACAAUGGGCGCAAGCCUGAUCCAACCAUACCGCGUGGGUGAAGAAGGCCUUCGGGUUGUAAAGCCCUUCUGUUGGGAAAGAAAAGCAGCAGGUUAAUACCCCGCUGUUCUGACGGUACCCAAAGAAUAAGCACCGGCUAACUUCGUG
rnacentral:rRNA from 1 species